rnacentral:rRNA from 1 species
GACGAACGUUGGCGGCGUGCUUAAUACAUGCAAGUCAACUGAAGCAGUGGUAGCAAUAUCGCUGUGGAGGUGGCGCACGGGUGAGUAACACGUAGGUAAUCUGCCUUCAGGUCUGGCAUAACUCCGGGAAACCGGGGCUAAUAGCAGAUGAUGCAGCGGCUCGACAUCGAGACAGUUGUUAAAGCUAUGGCGCCUGAAGAUGAGCCUGCGUCUGAUUAGCUAGUUGGCGGGGGAACGGCCCACCAAGGCAACGAUCAGUAGCUGGUCUGAGAGGAUGAUCAGGCACACUGGAACUGAGACACGGUCCAGACUCCUACGCGAGGCAGAAGUAAGGAAUAUUGCUCAAUGGGUGAAAUCCUGAAGCAGCAACGCCGCGUGAGGGACGAAGGGCUUUUGCUUGUAAACCUCUGUAGUGAGAGAAAAAAAUCCCAAUCUUUGGGACAUGAUGGUAUCUCAAAAGUAAGCCCCGGCUAACUACGUG